ensembl:lncRNA
AAACAGAGGAAGAUGUAACACAUGGCUCAUUAGCUUCCCACUGUAGCUUCUCUGAAAAGACCCUAAAAUGUAUUUCUUUUGAAAAACUUUGAUUCGACAUUUUUAUUGUUUGAAUUUCACAACAGACAAUACACACAGUUUUCGUUACAGUUGGUUUUGACUCAGAAAGGUUGCAUAACAAAUUUAAGUGUGUGUGUGUGCGUGUGUGUGUGAGUGAGAGAGAGACAGAGAGAGAGAGAGAGAGAGAGAGAGAGACUGUAAAAACACAAGACAAAAAAGGCAGCAAUACAUGAAGUUUUUUACUCUGUGUGAAUUGAUUGUGUAAAGUAUUACACAUCCUCAUUCCUCUUGUGUAAAAUAAACAUGAAUGAGUAACAGAACAUGAUCAGUCUAACAGCUCCCCUGUCUCAGACUGCUGGUGACCUGUAGAAAAAGAAAACACAAAGCACUGCUCAACAUAAAUGCAGACACACACACACACACAUUCACAGCAUUCAUAGCAUAACAGCAGUAUUUGCGAGUGCAGACCUCACUCGUUGACUGCUGUAGGGAGUGAGUGUGGAAGUGUGCAGAGAGGAGGACUGGAGGAGGACUGGAGGAGGACUGGAGGAGGACUGUGAUAUGUGUUGUGUUAGUGUGUUUCCUCCUGAGCAGUUCAGAGCAGCUACUGCAUUACGUGCUCAACCUCACCAGAAGAUGUAGCAGACACUGGAGAGACCAGUGGUUUAUAAUGGAAGCCAGCACUCCUGCCAUCAGACUUACACUGUGUUCAUGUUCAAACACAUGCCUACAGCCCUAAUGUAAAAAUCUGAGUCUGUGAGGAUCAGAAUUACGGCAGGGUCUGGAAGACACAAACUCUGUCUGACAGGUAAAUGAUUUUAUUGCAUGCACAGUAUGAGUCUACGAUUAACAAAUGUGUCUCAGUCAUGUCAAUAUGAGUGAAGGAGGAGUGGCCUCUAUACCUGUCAGUCUAAGUGAAGGAGGAGUGGCCUCUAUACCUGUCAGUCUAAGUGAAGGAGGAGUGGCCUCUAUACCUGUCAGUCUAAGUGAAGGAGGAGUGGUCUCUAUACCUGUCAGUCUAAGUGAAGGAGGAGUGGCCUCUAUACCUGUCAGUCUAAGUGAAGGAGGAGUGGCCUCUAUACCUGUCAGUCUAAGUGAAGGAGGAGUGGCCUCUAUACCGUCAGUCUAAGUGGUAAGGGAAGGAGGAGUGGCCUCUAUACCUGUCAGUCUAAGUGAAGGAGGUGUGGUCUGUAUACCUGUCAGUCUAAGUGAAGGAGGUGUGGCCUCUAUACCCGUCGGUCUAAGUGGUAAGGGAAGGAGGCGUGGCCUCUAUACCUGUAAGUCUAAGCGAAAGGGGUGUGGCCUCUAUACCUGUCAGUCUAAGUGAAAGGGGUGUGGCCUCUAUACCUGUCAGUCUAAGUGAAGGAGGAGUGGCCACUAUACCUGUCAGUCUAAGUGAAGGAGGAGUGGCCUCUAUACCUGUAAGUCUAAGUGAAAGAGGUGUGGCCUCUAUACCUGUCAGUCUAAGUGAAAGGGGUGUGGCCUCUAUCCCCGUCAGUCUAAGCGGUAAGGGAAGGAGGCGUGGCCUCUAUACCUGUAAGUCUUAGUGAAAAAUGUGUAGCCUCUAUACUAGGGCUGUGCGAUUAACCCACAUCGCAAUAAAAUCCCGAUGUGAACACGUGCAAUUUCUAAACCGUGGAAAGCGCCGAUUCUAUUCCAACCACCCCCACUCCACCACCUCCCCCUCAGUGUGCAAAAGAUGUUCACCAAUCAAAAUGCAGCAUGCCUAUAAAUCUAGCACGAGGACAGAAGAGAGCGGCAAGCGACUAUGCAGGAAUGCACAGAAACAUGGAGGAUUAAUUCAGGACAGAAUAAUGACUUGGUACCAAAAAAAAAAAAAUCAACAUCCGUGGUUUGGCAAUAUUUUGGAUACAGGAGAGAAGAUGUGUUACAGACCCAGGUAAUUUGCAAGACCUGUCAAACUACUGUUGCGACAAUAGGGAAACACCACAAAUCUGUUCCAAAACAUGAUCUGUCAGUCAAAGUGAUAAACGGAUGAAUCGUGGUCUUUGUACCUGUCAGUCUAAAUGAAGGAGGUGUGGCGACUUUAGCUAUUAGUCUAAGUGGAGGAAGCAUCACUUUUUUCCCAUUUGAAUCAAACAGUUUGCACAAUUACACUUAUGGUGUUUGUAUUGCAUCACAUCACAUAGAAACAACUAAGUGCAUAUUUUAUUCACUGUAAAAUGCGUUCAUCUGUACUUCUCAGAGUUAACAUUAAAACUGCAGAACUGUAUAGUUUGUAUACAGCAUUUGUUUCCUGAUUAAAUGAUGUAUUCAAUUUUGAACAUUUUGUCAGGUGACCUCAGACAGAGCUGAAACCAAAAUGAAUUUGCAGAUAGAGCCAUUUCUGCACUAGAGUACCAUUUCCAGGUCUUUAAGUUUAUAAACCGCAAGUUUAUCACCGAGUUUGUGUGGAGUGUGUGAUACUGUAAGAUUGAGGAAUAUAAAUUACGUCCUACUUUUAGCGUUACUUAAUCAGUCGAUCGUGAAUGUGUCAAAGUUGCAGCCACUUGCAUAUUAACAUAAGGGAAUGCCCUUGAUGCUCGUGCUGUAACUCGCCUCACAGUUGAGUUGAUGUGUUUAGCACAAUUUGCCUUCAUUGCCCAUAAUGCCAUUUCAUGUCUGCUGUCAAGUCUGUACAGACUUGGAAUGUGAUGCACACGCACACACACACACACACACACACACACACACACACACACACACACCAAGUUGCAAUAAAAAUUAUUCAACCUCCAUUGCAAAUCAGGUUCGUCAAAUGUAGACUUCAGCUGUCUGCAAUGAAAAAA